CAGGAUCAUGACCUGAGCCGAAGGCAGUCGCCCAACCGACUGAGCCACCCAGACGCCCCAAAUCCUGGCCCUUCUUAGUAUCAUCCUCUUUUCCAUCAUUGCUCCUGGUUCUCAUCCUCCAGGGAGCUGUCCACGUUGUCCCUUCCAGACGGACACCUGCCCACCUCCCCUCCGCCAUCCCCGCUCUGCACCUGUCUCCACCCCUGUAAUCUCUGCUGUCUCAGUGACGUCACUAAACUGAUAAACGAAUCCAGGCUACUGUCCUGUUGGUCACUAUUGUGCAAAUGAAAGCAUGGUAGCUCCCUCACCUCUUUCCCUUCCAGAAAUUUUUACUGUGGCCCUUUUAAAGAACGCCUCGUGUCCUAGAGGUGGUGUUGGCCGUGGGGAUUGGAGAGAAAACCAUCACGCCUUGAGGAAAUAAUGGACAAUGAAUUGGGUCCUGGCGGAUGCCACCAGCAAGAUUUAGGAGCUCAUCCGGUCAGAUUAAACGAGGCUAAGGAGAGGGGAAAGAAAAGAAAGGACUGCAACCGGUCAGCAGGUAAAAAUUGCCAGGAGACUGGAGAGACAGCAGAAACCAGACCUGGAGCUGUUCUUCAGUAGGCAAACUUACAAUGAAGGGCUGGAGAAGGUUCCUGAAGAUGCAGCAGGAGGACGCCGCCCAACAGGGGAGUGCAGAAUCAGCUAAUAUUGAAAGGGCCUUACAGCGACUAACCCCAUUCCUCACAAUUCUUCUGAGGCUACUGUUUUCCAAUCAGUUCUUUAAAUAAAAUAUUCGAAGUCUGCGGCAAAAAGGACAA